rnacentral:rRNA from 1 species
AUACGGAGGAUCCGAGCGUUAUCCGGAUUUAUUGGGUUUAAAGGGAGCGUAGGUGGACAGUUAAGUCAGUUGUGAAAGUUUGCGGCUCAACCGUAAAAUUGCAGUUGAUACUGGCAGUCUUGAGUCCAGUAGAGGUGGGCGGAAUUCGUGGUGUAGCGGUGAAAUGCUUAGAUAUCACGAAGAGCUCCGAUUGCGAAGGCAGCUCACUAGACUGUUACUGACACUGAUGCUCGAAAGUGUGGGUAUCAAACAGGAUUAGAUACCCUGGUAGUCCACACAGUAAACGAUGAAUACUCGCUGUUUGCGAUAUACAGUAAGCGGCCAAGCGAAAGCAUUAAGUAUUCCACCUGGGGAGUACGCCGGCAACGGUGAAACUCAAAGGAAUUGACGGGG